CUGUAGCCUGCCUUCGUCCCAUAGUGCUUCCUGCUGCCUCCUCUUCCCCAGGUAUGCAAAAAUUUUCUUCUGGAGCCCUUAACUAAUACAAAGGAACACUUAAACAUUAGGAAUGCAAACCUGUUUUCCUAACACUUUAGUGUUACUCUCCCGAGUUAUGGAGGUCCAACCCCCUUUUCCCAAUAAUAAUUAAUACAAUUAAGAUUUUUGCUUACCAAAG